UGCUCUACCAGGCUCUAGGCAAGUCUAGACGAGUGCUCGCAGUUCUGAAUUCCGUUGAUCUCCUCCCUUAAGUCUCCACUUCUCUGCCUGUUCGGGGCGGCAUGGACCCCCGUCUCACGCUCGCUGGGUGUUCGACGUAUGUCGCGUGAGUGUGGUGACUGCAUUCGCGAGGUUGUGUGUGCUUCCUGCGACGCAGCCGUGCAUUGGCCAAUGGCCAACAACGUGUUGCAGCGCCAUGGACGAGGCCGGGCCGUGUGCUGGGUCUAUGCAUGGAGGUCGUGAGGUCAUCAUGGCCGCUGUACCAUACCAGUUUCAGAGCUGAACCUUUGCCAAUUUCUUUGCUGCACGGGCAUGGGAUGGACACCAUGUCCUCGAUAGUAUAUCUGUGCAAGAAUGAUCAGCUGAUUUCAACAAACUAAACAAAUAACUAUGCUCAUGUUUCUGCAGAACAAAGAAUCCUUGCCAUUAAUCAAAGAUGUGUAACUGCCCAUGAAGCUCAGAAGGCACUUUGUUUUGAUGAUCGAAGGAAAACAGAGACGAAGUAGAAGAGAAAAUGAACAGCUGUGCUUAGCUAAGGUGACUGUUGAGAAGGCUUAGAGAAGUGAUAUUCCUGACAUGGACAAGAAAAAGUCAGUUCUCAACUUCUCUAACUAGAUACCUGAAGAUUAUUUCUACUUAUCCUUUCUAUGAUUUGCCAUAGAAAAAUGGAAUCUAGAUGUAAUGUAUAGAUCGUAUCGUUCUUAUCAAACAUUGUAAAAUAAAUUGUGUAUGGACUCUUUGUUUUAAUCUUGAUUUAUGGACUGUUUAUUUUAAUCUCGAUGUAUGGACUCUUUCAUUUAAUCUCGAUGUAUGAGCUCAUAUGGUUGAAUUCUACUACUAUAAUUAUAUAUUA